UACGUAGGGUGCAAGCGUUAAUCGGAAUUACUGGGCGGUAAAGCGUGCGCAGGCGGUUCUGUAAGUCUGUCGUGAAAUCCCCGGGCUUAACCUGGGAAUUGCGAUGGAGACUGCAAGGCUAGAAUCUGGCAGAGGGGGGUAGAAUUCCACGUGUAGCAGUGAAAUGCGUAGAGAUGUGGAGGAACACCGAUGGCGAAGGCAGCCCCCUGGGUCAAGAUUGACGCUCAUGCACGAA
rnacentral:rRNA from 1 species